UCAUAGCCUCAUAAGAGACAGCUAUAUCAGGGUCCUGUCAACAAAAUCUUGCUGGGAUAUGCAAUAGUGUCUGGGUUUGGUGGUUGUUUAUGGGAUGGAUCCCCAGGUGGGGCAGUCUUUGGAUGGUCCUUCCUUCCAUCUCAGCUCCAAACUUUGACUCUGUAACUCCUUCCAUGGGCAUUUUGUUCCCCAUUCUAAGAAGGAAUGAAGUAUCCACACUUUGGUCUUCCUUCUUCUUGAGUUUCAUGUGUUUUGCAAAUUGUAUCUUGAGUAUCCUAGGUUUCUGGGCUAAUAUCCACUUAUCAGUGAGUGCAUAUCAUGUGUGUUCUUUUGUGAUC
rnacentral:lncRNA from 1 species